GUAUAAUAUAGUGUGUUUACUUUAGAUUGAAAUCAUGUUUGCUCAAUGUACUUACAAAAUUGGUUUGGGCUCAUUCAUUAACUUAACCAUUACUAAAACACAACUAACACCGAUCCUUAGCUUCUCUCUCUCGCUCUCUAAAAGGUGUUUAAAAAAUGUAAACAUACUAAAACUGGUGAUUGAGUCUGCCAUACAAAAUGUCACACAAAAUAUAGUCCUGCAGUCACGUGAUUAUAUUUUGUGUGACUUUUGUAUGGGAAACUUUUUAUUUGUUUAAUUAUUUGACCUGUUUCUUAGAAAUGUUGUUGAAUUAGUUUAAGGUAAACCUGUUACCGGUUUCAUUUUGUAUGGGGAAAUAGAUUGUUGUUUUUGUAGUUUUUUUAUAAGAAUGAAAAUAAUGGAUUUAUUAUCUGCAUAACACUUAACAACACCACAUCAAUUUCCAGGUGUACUUGUACGACAAACUUCAGAUAUUUCGACAUCUUCUGUGGUUGCAUCAAAUGCUGUGAUUGCUCGACACCUUGCCAAACUCGAGGAAGGCAUCAAGGAACUGCAAUUAAACCAAAAAGAAAUAUUGGAAAGACUACGCUCUGGAGCAACUGCGACGGCUGUAGCUGUUGGUUAUCAAGCCCUGUCCCUGCCAGAAGGAGUCAAUUUACCAUGCACCCAGAUCGAAGAGAUUAAAAAGAUUGAUGUCUGGCUAACAGUGGACGAAAAUUACAUGCUACUUGU